AUUGAACGCUGGCGGCAGGCCUAACACAUGCAAGUCGAGCGAGCGGCGGACGGGUGAGUAAUGUCUGGGAAACUGCCUGAUGGAGGGGGAUAACUACUGGAAACGGUAGCUAAUACCGCAUACCAUCAGAUGUGCCCAGGUGGGCUUAGCUAGUGGGUGGGGUAACGGCUCACCUAGGCGACGAUCCCUAGCUGGUCUGAGAGGAUGAGCAGCCACACUGGAACUGAGACACGGCCCAGACUACUACGGGAGGCGGCAGUGGGGAAUAGUGCACAAUGGGAGCAAGCCUGAUGCGGCCCUGCCGCGUGUGUGAAGAAGGCCUUAGGGUUUGAAAGCACUUUCAGCGGGGAGGCGUUACCCGCAGAAGAAGCACCGGCUAACUCCGUGCCAGCAGCCGCGGUAAUAC
rnacentral:rRNA from 1 species